UUCAUAGCUCAGUUGGUAGAGCAGAGGACUGAAAAUCCUCGUGUCAGUGGUUCAAUUCCACUUGAA
rnacentral:tRNA from 1 species